AUGCACCGGAGUAUAAAACAAAGCCACUCCUGGGGAGAAGUCCUAGCCGCCGCCUCCCGUCCCACUCGCCUCCCCCUCCUCGUCGCCCUCCUCUCUCUCUCUCUCUCUCUCUCUCUCUCUCCCCAUCGCGCCGGCCGGUUCCGGCCAGCUCCGGCCCGCGCGUCUCCCCCGCGACCCCCGCCUCCUCUCCUGCCGCCGCCGCCGCCGGAGAAGCUCGCCGCCGAUGCCCGUGACCUAGCCCGCGCGUCUCCCCCGCGACCCCCGCCCCCUCUCCUGCCGUCGCCGCCGCCGGAGAAGCUCGCCUCCGCGCCCACAAGCCUCGGAUCCGGCGGGAUUCGGGACGAGGAGGGGUGGAUGAGACGGGGGAGGAGGAGGAGGAGAGUGUGGGGGCGUCUGGGGAGGAAUAUCCCCGCCGCCUCCUCCGCUCCUGACGCAGGGCCUCGAGCCAUGGGGGCGUUCGUUGCAGGAACCUCGCCGCUGGCCUCCCGUGCGCGGCGCCCGGCCCUGGCAGCGCUGACCUCGCCGAUGGCCUCCUGUGCGGUACCUCUUCUUCCCCGACGACGCAUGCCCGCACAUCUCGCCCGCCGCCUCCAGCUACUCGCCGGCUUCGCCACCCGCGCCGCUGCCUGUCUUGCAAUGAGCGCCGGAGCAGCCUACGGACAAGAGUGGCGUUCAAGACAACAUGCGCAGCUUGGGAACCGCUGGCUGAAACUGCAAGUUGUUGUCUCUACCAAUUGGCCUUACCAAGCCGGGCUCCUUCUAUCUCGUGUUAGAGCUUGUAUGUGGUUGAUGGAGGAAGCACGGGGAGGAGCAAAAACAAAUGGUGUUGGAGGAGGAAAAACAAAUGGCGAUCUCCAUGUACAAGGGGCUCAUUGGUCGCUUGGCCUGCUUUUGGUAUAUCAAUGA
rnacentral:rRNA from 1 species